UACGGAGGGUGCAAGCGUUGUCCGGAUUUAUUGGGUUUAAAGGGUGCGUAGGUGGGCAGGUAAGUCCGUGGUGAAAUCCCCGAGCUUAACUCGGGAACUGCCAUGGAUACUAUUUGUCUUGAAUAUUGUGGAGGUAAGCGGAAUAUGUCAUGUAGCGGUGAAAUGCUUAGAUAUGACAUAGAACACCAAUUGCGAAGGCAGCUUACUACACAGUUAUUGACGCUGAGGCACGAAAGCGUGGGGAUCAAACAGG
rnacentral:rRNA from 1 species